GACGAACGCUGGCGGUGUGCUUAACACAUGCAAGUCGAACGGUAAGGCCCUUUCUGGGGUACACGAGUGGCGCACGGGUGAGUAACACGUGAGUAACCUGCCCUCAUCUCUGGGAUAACAGUCGGAAACGGUUGCUAAUACUGGAUAUGAGCUUGCAAGGCAUCUUGUGGGUUGGAAAGAUUUUUUUUGGUUGGGGAUGGACUCGCGGCCUAUCAGCUUGUUGGUGAGGUAGUGGCUCACCAAGGCUUCGACGGGUAGCCGGCCUGAGAGGGCGACCGGCCACAUUGGGACUGAGAUACGGCCCAAACUCCUACGGGAGGCAGCAGUGGGGAAUAUUGCACAAUGGACGGAAGUCUGAUGCAGCAACGCCGCGUGCGGGAUGACGGCCUUCGGGUUGUAAACCGCUUUCAAUUGUGACGAAGCUUUUUUGUGACGGUAGCAGUAGAAGAAGCACCGGCUAACUACGUG
rnacentral:rRNA from 1 species